rnacentral:rRNA from 1 species
UCUUCGGCAAUGGACGAAAGUCUGACCGAGCAACGCCGCGUGAGUGAGGAAGGUUUUCGGAUCGUAAAACUCUGUUGUUAGAGAAGAACAAGGAUGAGAAGAGAAUGUUCAUCCCUUGACGGUAUCUAACCAGAAAGCCACGGCUAACUACGUGCCAGCAGCCGCGGUAAUACGGAGGUGGCAAGCGUUGUCCGGAUUUAUUGGGCGUAAAGCGAGCGCAGGCGGUUUCUUAAGUCAGAUGUGAAAGCCCCCGGCUCAACCGGGGAGGGUCAUUGGAAACUGGGAAACUUGAGUGCAUAAGAGGAGAGUGGAAUUCAAUGUGUAGCGGUGAAAUGCGUAGAUAUAUGGAGGAACACCAGUGGCGAAGGCGGCUCUCUGGUCUGUAACUGACGCUGAGGCUCGAAAGCGUGGGGAGCAAACAGG